UGUCGCACUCAUUUCCUAUAAUCGACACUUGUGGACCUGUUCACAUUCACGACUCAAACUUGUCCAGUUUGAAGAACUUUCCUUAAGAGAGUUGCUUGAUAUCAUCUCUCGAGCAUUAUUUAAAUGGCAUAUGGUAUCAUCCUUCAUCAGAAUAGGAGAUGAAGUAGUUAUUAAUGGAACAGAUGACUCAUAUAUCACUAGGUUUUCAUGCAAUGUGUGACUCAAAGCAUGGUUGGAGACAAUGGAUAUUUCUUUUAUAUUUUGAAUUUUUUAUUUGAAGGUCAUCUUGACUUUAAUAUGUAUUGAGGAAAAUUUGACACUUUUAAUACAUUUUAAACAUGGAUAUAUAUUUUUUCGGUAACACAAUGGAUGUAUCAAAUUGUA